CUCUCACCCACAUCCUUUUCAUGUCUGUACUCCUGAUCGUCGAUCUCUUCCUUGGUUACCUUCUCCAUUCCCAGCAGUUCCAAAGGCCUCUGAGAUGAUAGAAACUGUGGCUGUGAUUCACAGUAGCCUGAUGUUGGCUGUGAUGAGACUGGCACAACAGAAGGGAGUUUUGAUAGAAGGGCUUCAAGGCUACUCAUGGAAGGAGUUAUCUUCAUUGGCUGAUUGAAGUGGUCAUAGAAUUCUGGUGCAGGAGCAGGAGUUCCUUGGAAGUGCCAUGCGUCCGGUGCACCGUACCCAUCGACUUUGAAUGGGAAAGGCGAAGGUGAUGGGUGUGGCAACAGCACUCCUGGGAUGCUUUCAAUGUAACCAAACUUCUUUCUUAGUAGAACGACAUAACUCAGGUCUUCAAUCACCUUGAAUUCCAUGAAUGAGAGAAAAUAAAUGGCAAAAUGGUACUUGUAAGUACUUGAUGGAGAGAGAGGGAGAGUACUGAGAAGAGAGAGAGAGAGAGUACUGAGUAGAGAGAGAGAGAGAGAGAGAGAGAGGACCUUGUGAACAGCUCCCAAUUGAAUGACACCUUCUCUAACUGCAAUCAGCGCAAUGGUCUGCAAAAUGUUUGAAUCAAACCAGGAAAGCACGUCUCUAACUAUCAAUCUUUGGAUGUGAUGCUUAAUUCUAAUGCCAUACCUUUACCCCAGACUGGAAUUGGGCUUCCCAUGUCCUUGGAUACUGUUAAGAAACAUUACUUAGUAUGAAGCUGACAGACCUUCUGCGAGUAAAUAUAGAACAUAAAAUUACGAACCAGUGUAAGCAAGGAUAAGAGAAAUACUAACCGAAUCUGCUGAGUUGUGCCAUGCAGACAAGAAGUUGAUUUCUUGUUCAUUUGGUUCUUUGUAGACCCACUUAUGACUCUGAUCUGCAGCCACUUUUCCGAUCAAACUGUUGACAGGAUUGAAUCUUCUUCGAUUACUUGUGAAAUCACUAGCAGGGCGAAUGAUCAAUCAACAUCUAUAGAGAAGAAAAAUGAAGUGGCGAUUCUUUAUUACCCUUCCCCAUAGUUGUAGAUUUCAUGGGACAUCUUGAAGAAGAGCUCUGGUUGGAGUCCUUGAAAGUGUUGAAAUUCACAGUUGCCAUAGACUGAUGAGCCCACACAGUCGCUGGAGUUGAUCUCGGCUGUUGAGGCAGCAAAGUUGCAGAAACCAUCCUCCCAGACUAAUAUCCUGUCAUGUAUAUAGUAUGAGAUCAUCAACAAGAUGCAAAAUGCAUGGUUUAUUUUUUGCCUAAAGAAAUAUACCAGUUCCUCCUAUUUCCUCUUGACCUAUCAUAGGCUCCUGCUUGGCCAUCCCAUCUAAUAGAGAGAGAAAGAGAUAGUUCAUAUAUUAGAAAAAUAUGGUUAAAAUAAGGAACAAAAGGAUAUAUGCUUUCUAGAAUGAACUUAGAUUUGUGGGAUUCUUUUCUAAAACAGAUAUUUCCCCAAAAUUCUUUUUCUUUCUUCUCACUUGGGUGGUGGAUAGUUUCUAGGCAAGAUCCUCCAAAAGACUGCAUAAACCCAUUGAGAGUUUUCGUGAAUACACAAGCUUCUCAGAGUGUGUUGAAGGAGAUGAGUAACAGCUAAUGGGCCGAGAUGUUCUUCCAUCAAUCCCUAAAAUCUUCUCUUGAUCUCCUUUCCCAACUGUAUCUUUACAAGGAGGAAAAUCACAACAUCCUAACCUCCCCUUUAUAUAAUGCUAGAGCAACAAGAAAAUCCCCCAUUUAUACCUCUCUCUCUCUCUCUCUCUCUCUCUCUCUAUUGUAUUUAUUAUUUAAUCUUGCUUUAAAUUUUACCAAAAAUGAUUUCCUGAGGGCCACCCUUUUCCUUCCCGGUUCCCAACGGUCUCUUUUUCAAUCCUCCAUUCAAAACUACGCUACUUUUUAGCUCCCCUCCAUCAUCCCUGUCAUGAAUUAUCAGAAUGACCAAACCUUAUUAUUUCUGGGUUUAGAUCCUCUCCUCUCCUCUUCAUAUCUUUGAAGAGUCCAACCUCACUGCUUUAAUUUCUUUACUAGUCAUUUCAGUCUCAGGUUAGCUUCCCACCACCGCAUUCAUUUAUUCAAUCUCUCUUUAUGAGAUGACUCCACCGCCCAUUGAUUUUUCCGGAGAUCUUCAUUAAUUAUUUGAACUUCAACUAAAUUCGCGCCCAUAUACGUCAUCAGGUUGUUUUAUAUACUUAUGCUGGUAUGCAGCCAAGAUGCCAAUAGUCCAAGUGUCGGUGUGAUUAGUUUUUGGCUACAAUCUAGCCCUGGAUCGUACUAAAACAACAGUUGAUAGACAAAUUCUUUGGAAAUAACUAACUCCUUUGAUCAUAGUAGUUCUUGAUGGUUUUACAUUAAUUUUUUUUUGUAUGGAAUACGGGUGGAUAUGUGUAUCAUGUGUUAUUUUACCUAACAUGCAUGUGAUCAUAGGUAAAUCUAUUGAGUCUGCCUAACUUGAGGCUGGGGAUCAGAGUUGACUGAUCGAUCAAGUCUUCUAAUUAUUAAUCUUGGAAAUUUUGUUACCUAUAGUUUUAAUUAUUAGUAUAGGUUUUGUGUGUACAUAAAUAUUGGUGAAAUUUUCUGCCAAGAAAAGCUAUAAAUCACCUACAGGGGAGUCACUCAUUUGAGUCCAAACUCUAUUAUUGGCUUGCCCUCUCUCACUCCUUUUGUUUCACUGUAUUGUAAUCUUAUAAACAGCACCAACAGGUUACGCAAUUGUUUUUUUGUUCUCUUUUUUGAGUACUUUACCAAAUGGUAGAUGAAUGUUGGAGUUUAACACACGAGUUGUGAAUUCAAAUGUCACACAUGGUUGGGUCACAAACCACUGGGGAAGAGGAAGAUUGUCCACUAUUCUAGUGGUGGAAAGUGGGAAGUCUCCAACCUGGUGGUUUUCUAGAAACCCAGAUCGAACAAGUAAUACAAAGUCCAAACCUACCAUCAAGGAAAGUCCUCAGAAUUCUGACAUGUAGAUACGAGCAUAUACAAGGUGGGAUGUUAUGAUCCACCACCCACCAACACCAACCUUAUCAUUUUCUAAAUACAUCCACCAUGUUCUCACUUGUCAUCAUAGAUUGUACACCGCCAUUGAUAGAUUCAGUGCACAAAAAUCACAUGAUGCUACAUCUCUUUCUGUGUGUCUUGUUGACCAUAGUAAUUUCUCUUUAGACUAACUAGCUCAGCCAAGAAAUGUGGCAUUGAUCAUAUGAAAACCUAAAUUUUUUUGGAUGUUAGAAUUAGAAUUUCAUUCCAGACAAUGUUGACCUGAUAUAUAUCAUCAUCCUUGUUUACAAUUUUAUACAUCACUUGCUUUCAUUCGCAAAUGUACGUAGAUGCAGAUACGCAGAUAUACGAAUGGCAGGACGCCAACUGACGCCAAUUUACCAGAGGUACCACGCUAGAAGAGAAAUUGAAGGCUAAGGGAGGAGAUAGAAGAAAGAUGACUCGUGAGUUUCAGGAAAAUCUCUCUCUCUCUCUCUCUCUCUCUCCUCUCUGUGAAUUACAUGAUUACUAAAAGAAGCUUUCAGUGCUUUCAUUUCUCUUCCCUGACACCAAGAAAGCUUGGCAGACCAUUACACUAUCUUUGACCGCGCGUCCAUUAACAAGAAACUAUAUAUGCUCCCAUUACCGAUCCCAUUUUUUUUUUUUUUUUUUAAAAAGAAGAGAAGAAAAGGAAAUAAUUUAGAAUGAGACCCAGCAUUUGUGUCCUGCAUUGGCUGACAGUGACAGACAUUGCUAUCUUCAUAAUUUUCUCUUUGGCUUCUUCCUAGGAACGCAACUCCAUUUGUUAGAGAGAGAGAGAGAGAGAGAGAGAGAGAGAGAGAGAGAGAGAGAUGGGUUCUGUCAUUCUUGUUUUUAAAUUGUGUUGUGCAUGAAUGUACGACCCCUUAUGCAGAGCGAAAUAGUAGAGUUGGCGACAGAGUCUGAUGCGAUGAUGUAUGCAAAAGAGGGGGGUGUAAUUGAAUGGAGUUUGGAUUUAUUGGUUGGUAGUGAUGGCCGGGUCGAAUUGUAGUGGCAGUGGCACAUAUAUAAUAUAUAGGGGGUUGUUCUUAUUCAAUGAGGCACAAACAAUUUUAUAUUGCAUGGAAUUGUUGAAGUUGUAUGGGAGGAGAGGACUGGCAGAAGAGUCUUUGGUCAAGAUAACAGGUGUGGGAACGCCCCAUCCUUUUCUUCCAUUAAGCAAGUGGAAUCUCUGCUCUUCCCAUCCCUCCCAUUCUCCCCAUUUCAUAUUUUAAAUACUCAACUCCCUCAUCAACUCAAUAAAAUAAUUGAAAGAUGGAUACAUCAUUACCAGACAAUACAACAUAACGCCCACUCAAAAGGCAGGCAAAUCUCCCUCUCCCUCCCCCAGUUCCUGCAUAAUUUUCUUUAAUAAAAACCUACUCUCUUUUUGUAAUGUUGGGUAUUAUUUUAUAGUAUAUGAUGGGUAGGGCUAGCUUUCCCUUUUUGUAUCAAGAAACAGGAGCACUCAGUGCUGCUUUAGUUAAUUGGUUUUGUUUGAAAAGGUUGGUAAUUAGGUGUUGGUGAGUGAUGUCCAAAACCAUCUAAAUUUCAGUGUUGGUCGGGUUGAUGGCAAUGUCUUUAUCCUUGCCGUAUUUUCAUCCAUAUAUAAAAUGGAAUCUACGAUUUCCAACAUGGGUCUCUGGGAUUCACAUGGAAUUAACUUCAUAUAUGAUAUUUACUUGUGCGUGCAGGAGGAUUGAAUGUUCAUGCAUGUGAUAAUGUAAAAAUGUUUCCUGUGACAUCCUACUGUAUGCACCUUCCCCACCCCCACCACCCCCCGACAAUUAAAAAUUUAAAUUAAAUUCAUAAAAAUUAAAUAUUAAAUACUAUUAUUUUAAAGUUAAAACUCCUGUUUUCUAGUAAAAUAAAUUUAAAAUAUUUGUUUCGAUCCAUUGAAACUGUGGUUUAAGUAGUGGUUGAAUAAAAGAUAUAAAUGAAAAAUACUAAAAAUUGGUUAUGUAAUGCAUUUAAUAUUAUAUUUAUUUCGUGCAUUUGUAAUAAAAAUUUAAGUAAAUUACUAUUAUUUUAUCAUUAAAUGAACAAUUUUAAUAAAAUGGUGUUGCACAAAUAAUUUCAAUAAUAUAAACGUGCAAGAAAUUAGAAUCUUUGGCAUUAUAAAGCCUUAAAAACAGUUUUAUAUUUAAAAAUAGAAAACUAAUUUUAAAAAUCAAAAUGGUUUUUAAAGCAAAAUGAAAUAAAGAACAAUUUUUAGAAAAUAAAUAGAAAUUAUUUUCAUCAAUUUUUUUUAGAGGAAAAUAUUGAGAAAUCAAAUAAACUCUAAAUUAAGCAAGACUUAAAGGCAAAUAAACUUAAAAUUAAGUAAGACUUAAUACAUCAUAUUUAUUAAUAAGUUUAUUAAUUUAAAAAAAUAAUUUAAAACUCAAAUAGUGAACCAAUUAAUACAAAAAAAUUUAUGGAUAAAAAUUGGUUUAAAAUGGCUCUAUAGUUUCUCUCUUAUAUAGAAUCAUUAUUUUUCAAAACUUAAUGUUUAGAAUUUAUUAACGAGCAUAGUAAUAUUAAAAAAUAAUUUAAAAUUUAAAUAAUAAACCUAUUAAUACAAAAAAUUUAUGAAUAAAAAUUGGUUUAGAAGGACUUUAUUGUUUCUCUUUCACAAAAAAAAAUCAUUAUUUUUCAAUUAAAUAAAACUUAAUGCAUUGGAUGCAUUAACAAGUUUAGUAAUUUUUAAAAAUAACUUAAAAUUUAAAUAAUAAACCAAUUAAUACAAAAAAUUUAUGGAUAAAAAUUGGCUUGAAAUAACUUUAUUAUUUCUCUUCUAUAUAAAAUCAUUAAAUGUUAAAUUAAAUAAGACUUAAUGUGUUUGAUUUAUUAACAAGUUUAGUAAUUUUUAGAAAUAAUUUGAAACUCAAAUAAUAAAUUUAUUAACACAAAAAAUUUAUGGAUAAAAAUUAGUUUAUAAUGACUUUAUUAUUACUAGUUUGCACAUAAAUAUAUUUUUAUAAAUUUUUUUACUAGAAAAAUAAACUUCAAAUUAAGUGACACUUUGUAUUAAAUAUAUUAAUAGAUAUAACAAUUUUUAAAAAUAAUUUGGAACUAAAAAAUUAUAUCUAAUCAUUAAAAAAAAAAAAAAAGAGACCAAAACUGAUAAGUCAUGACUUUAUUGUUACUCCUAUAUAUACAACUAUAUUUUUUUGAAUCUAGAUAAAUAGAUUAUAAAUUAAGAAAUAAUUAAUAAUUUAAAAUUUUUAUGCAUUUUUAAAUUUUUAAGAAUAAUUUGGGAACUUAAAAAAUCAAUCUAAUUAAUUACAGAUUAAAUUAAAACAUUGUAAAACAUUAUGUUCGUAAUUUAGUACUAAAUUUGUAUAUGAAAUGAAAAACUUCACUCAUUUACAUGUUAAAAUGAUUAAACUUUAUUCCUUAUUCAUUUUAAAUAAAAUAAUAUUAAAAAUUAUUAGUUUACAUUGUUAUUAUUCAUUUUUAACAAAACAAAUUUACAAAGAUGUUAAUAUUCUUAUGUUUCUAACAUAUACUAAAAUAGUAUUUUUUUUAAAUAUAUAUAAUUUAUGAUUUUAUUAUAAUAAUAUUAUUCAUGUUUUACUAAAAAAAAUAUUUAUUUUUUAAUUUAUUUGUUAUUAUAAUUAUUUUAAAUAAGACUUGAAUUAAAUUUAAGUAAUAUUAUAUAAAUUGAAUUUGCAAUGUUAUUACCAAAUAAAAAAAAGAAAAAAAAAUUUAAAAACAGUUUAUUCAAAUAAGUUUUUUGUUUCUCAUAUUUAAAAAUUAUUUUUAAAAACAACUUACUAAACACCCUUAUUUUUAUAAAACACAAAAAAGCUUUUUUUUUUUUUUUGUUUUUUAAUUUAAAAACAAGUUUUAGAAAAUAUGGUGAAAUAAACCCUUAAUUUUUUUUUUAUAUAUAAUUAACUACAAUGUUUUGAAUAUUACUUUUACUUUGUGCAUUUGUUAUAUGAAAGUAAAUUACUAUUUUAUUUUAUAUUAAAUCAAUAAUCUUAAUAAACAAACUUAAAUAACAUAAAAGUAUAAGAAUAAUGUAUAAAAAUUAUGGGUUUGUUUGAUAACUAUUUUAAAAAAUAAUUCUAAAAAACAGAUUUUAAGAAUAAUUUUUUGAAAAUGAUUCUUUAAUGUUUUAUAGAACAAAAGCAUGUUUGAGAAUUUAAAAUAUUUUUGAAUAUAUUUUAAAAAUAAUUUUUAUAUUUAGCGUCUUAUUUUUAAUCAUUCUUCAUAUUUGUAUGAUUAUUUUCUAAAACAAUAUCAAGAAAAAAGGUAAAAACAAUUAAAAGAUGAUUUUUAAAAAACAUGUUUUUUUUUGUUUUUAAGAACAAAAAAUAGAAAACAUAUUUUUGAUUCCUUAUUUUUUUUUUUUGGAGAACAGAAAACUAUUAUCCACAAUAGUUGUUGAACAAAGCCUACAAGUCAAUGAGGAUAAAUUUUAAGUUAAACUUUUAAUUAUUUUCAAGAUUAGAAUUUGUUUGGGAACUCAAUUAGGAUGGUACAUUUACGGAUAAUACCUCGGAAUGUUAUGCCAUAAAAAUACUUAAAAUUCAUUUAAAAAUAAUAUUAAUAGUAAAUUUAAACAAAAAUAAAGUUCAUAAAAAAGCUAAUAUUCAAGCUAUAAAUGUAAUGCUUGGAAUAUCCAUUUGUACUGAAGCCAUGAUUUUUAGAUAUGGCUUCUAAAUAUAUUCCGAAAUCACAGUUUUUUUCUUUGUAAAAAUAAAAAAUAAAAAACCCAUUAUGGUUUUAAUUUAAGUUUUUAAAAAAUAAUAAAAUAAUUUUAUUGCUUUUGUUUGGUGUAUUUGGAGGCCAACUUUUUGAACAAAGACAUCAGAAUUGUUUAUGAUUUUGGUGGCCAAAAUGGCAUUUUGACUGGAAACUCCAGAGCCUUAUAAUCCCACUACCUCAUCAUUCCUCGGUAUUUAUCAUCAUCAUCAUCAGCAGCAUAUUAAAUUACAAACAAACCCAUCUCCCCUCAUUCUGUCUGCAUCUUUGGUUGUACACAACUGGAUUUGAUUUGAAUCUCAACUCUUGUGGGACUUGAAGUCUAUUUGGAUUUCUGAAUGUAGGGAAAAUAGCACAAGGGUUGUGCAUAUGGAGAAGGGUACUUCCUUUAUCCUAAUUUCCAAGUUACAUGUCAGAGACACAAGUGGGAGACUUUGUUUGCCAAUAAUCAUGGUCUUAGUGGAAUGACAAUUUUGAGGGAGCUGGACACCAUAUCAUACACCAUGAAUCUAGCUAGCUCUCACCAAUUACAAGGUGUGGGGUAUGAGGGGAGGAAAUGGAAAAUAUUGGAGGUAGAAGCAGAGGAGGGGGUACCCUUUAAAAUUGAUGAGGCAAAGAUGUUGAAAAAGAGGGGUUUGGUGUGGUCAAAAUGCAUCCACACGCUGCCAAUUCUAACUUUCCCCCACUGGGAAAAACUCCAAGUCAUCACGUGAAGGCAUUGGAGGUCACAAUCUUGGCCUAUUAAAAAAAAAUAAAAAAGAAAAAAAAAAUUUGAAAGGCUUUGUGUGGUGUGUACCCAUCCAAACACCCAAAAGAAAAGAGCAAAAAAGAAAGAAAAGAAAGAUAGUCAGUCACCUUUUCUCUAGCCUUUUCAUUGCUGUAAAACAAGACUUUCUUUUAAACAACUCCAGUAAUCCUUGACUUGCCUCAUCCCCCACUCCCACCCUUUCCAUAUCAUCAAUGUUAUUAAAAAGACCCCUUUCCCUGGUACUUCAACGGUGGGCAUAAAAUCUAACCCACCAUAAAAGGACUUUUUUUAAGUACCACUCCCUCUUUAAUCUACGCCGUCCAACCAGCUGACGACUCUCUUCCUCGUGAUGAUGAUCAUGUGCAUUUAUUUGAUCAAAUUAGUCCCAUUCUUGUAUUUGUUUAUUUUGUUUCUAAAGGUCAACUAGAAAGCGAUCUAUCAAACUUUGAAGAUCACCCACCGAAGCAGUCUAUCAAUUGGACGCUCCAGAUGAGGGUCCGCCUACCCUCGUUGCAUAACAGAGAUAUGGAACACAAAAAUGAAAAAUCCACUCAUAGGUUUAGAGAAGAUUUUUGCCUUCUAUAACCUCGCCCUUUGCCUUCAUCAUCAUAAACUAUCAACGUCAACUCAAUAAAAGCAACCUAGAGAAUCAAGACACAACUGAUUAAUAAUAUUGAUCCCACUUCUAUGCCAUUAUCAUAUAUGCCUGUAUGCCUGUACGGUUCCACGAGUCUGGCCAUGUGAUUAGGCCGACGUGCUUCACUAAAUCAGGACACCUGGGUGCCAAACCCUAUAAAUCUUGAUGACUUGAUACUCGAUUACUUUAGUCGUGAACAUGAAAACAACACAUACUUAAAAGGCAGAAUGCAAAACGGCCCCUUAAUUUGUAGCAUGAAGUUGAGUUUGUCAAUUGAAUUAGGGUAGAAAUCAUUGUUUAGAAAGAGUUUGGUUUUGAAGCAAGAUUGCUAUGAUUGCACCACUUGAAUGUGGGGCACAUUGAUGAUGCUAGCUUGUUUAGCCAACAGAGUAGUGAAAGGGACUCACAAUCAUAGAGAGAUGGAAUAGGCAUCUAAGCUCUGUGAUCGAGGACAACAUGACUGAGAUAUGUGGGGUUCAAGAGAGGGACCUUAGAUCAAUCACCCAAAAAGUGCUCCCCCCUUCCCUCUCCUUCUUUUCUCCUUAUGCACUCAGGGCCUACCCUGCAGCUCCAACGAGGAAGAGAGGGAGAGAGAGAGAGAGAUGCGACCCCGUUUGGGAGACCUCAAAAGGGGCAUUACAAAUCAAAGGCACCUUACAUCUUCUCCCUAACUACCAACCAUAGUAUGUCUGAAAACCUCACUCUAGGAUGUCUCCAACUAUAUGUCAUUUCAUGUCAAUAAAAUGGCACCAGUGCUAUGUUUUUCUCCUUUUAAUUUUUCAAUUAGCUUUCUGUCACUUUACAGAAGGGAUGGCACAUGGAAGCAUGGUCAUAGUGUAGUUGAGAUGCUCUUUGUUCUCCAACACUCGAAAGGAAAUUUGAAUAUAUGGGGGGAGUUGGUUUGGGAGUGGGUAUAUUCCCCCUCCCCCAUGUUCACACCCAUUUCUCUGGUGGUGCUUGAUUAGAUUCUCUCUCAAUCAGGCCCAGUGAUUUGGGCCCUUACAAUGUCCUUAAUUACGUGUGGAACAUGGUACCAUGAGUACCAUGCUUAACUAGUAAGGUGGAGGGAUGGCUACAGACCCACCUCUUUAAUGGGCCACGGCCCAAAUUCACGACCCCACACUUGCAAUCUUCAAAUCCGAUGGUUGUGAAGACUGAGGAAUAAUCUAGUGUAGUGCAGCUAGGAUGGGCCCAAAGUAAGGGCCUGUGGGGGCCCAGUAGUACAAUGGUGCCACUUUUCUAAUGGUUUAAGAGAGAGGGGUGGGGUAAAG
rnacentral:lncRNA from 1 species